rnacentral:rRNA from 1 species
UUAUAUGCUUGUCUCAAAGAUUAAGCCAUGCAUGUCUAAGUAUAAGCAAUUAUACCGCGAAACUGCGAAUGGCUCAUUAUAUAAGUUAUAGUUUAUUUGAUAGCACCUUACUACAUGGAUAACUGUGGUAAUUCUAGAGCUAAAACAUGCUAAAAAUCCCGACUUCGGAAGGGAUGUGUUUAUUAGAUUAAAAACCAAUGCCCUUCGGGGCUCCUUGGUGAUUCAUGAUAACCGCUCGAAUCGCACGGCCUUGCGCCGGCGAUGGUUCAUUCAAAUUUCUUCCCUAUCAACUUUCGAUGCGAAGGUCUUGUCUUCGCAUGGUUACAACGGGUAACGGAGGGUUAGGGCUCGACCCCGGAGAAGGAGCCUGAGAAACGGCUACUACAUCCAAGGAAGGCAGCAGGCGCGCAAAUUACCCAAUCCCGACACGGGGAGGUAGUGACAAUAAAUACUGAUACAGGGCUCUUUUGGGUCUUGUAAUCGGAAUGAGUACAAUUUAAAUCCCUUAACGNGGAACAAUUGGAGGGCAAGUCUGGUGCCAGCAGCCGCGGUAAUUCCAGCUCCAAUAGCGUAUAUUAAAGUUGUUGUGGUUAAAAAGCUCGUAGUUGAACCUUGGGCCUGGCUGGCCGGUCCCCCUCACCGGGUGCACUGGUCCGGCCGGGCCUUUCCCUCUGUGGAACCGCAUGCCCUUCACUGGGUGUGCCGGGGAAACAGGACUUUUACUUUGAAAAAAUUAGAGUGCUCCAGGCAGGCCUAUGCUCGAAUACAUUAGCAUGGAAUAAUGGAAUAGGACGUGUGGUUCUAUUUUGUUGGUUUCUAGGACCGCCGUAAUGAUUAAUAGGGACAGUCGGGGGCAUCAGUAUUCAAUUGUCAGAGGUGAAAUUCUUGGAUCUAUUGAAGACUAACUACUGCGAAAGCAUUUGCCAAGGAUGUUUUCAUUGAUAAGGAACGAAAGUUAGGGGAUCGAAGACGAUCAGAUACCGUCGUAGUCUUAACUAUAAACUAUGCCGACUAGGGAUCGGACGGUGUUUAUACUUGACCCGUUCGGCACCUUUCGAGAAAUCAAAGUGCUUGGGCUCCAGGGGGAGUAUGGUCGCAAGGCUGAAACUUAAAGNNAUUGACGGAAGGGCACCACCAGGGGUGAGCCUGCNGCUUAAUUUGACUCAACACGGGGAAACUCACCAGGUCCAGACACAAUGAGGAUUGACAGAUUGAGAGCUCUUUCUUGAUUUUGUGGGUGGUGGUGCAUGGCCGUUCUUAGUUGGUGGAGUGAUUUGUCAGCUUAAUUGCGAUAACGAACGAGACCUUCUUCUGCUAAAUAGCCCGAACUGCUUUGGCAGUC